rnacentral:rRNA from 1 species
AGUGAACGCUGGCGGUAGGCCUAACACAUGCAAGUCGAACGGCAGCACAGUAAGAGCUUGCUCUUACGGGUGGCGAGUGGCGGACGGGUGAGGAAUACAUCGGAAUCUACUUUUUCGUGGGGGAUAACGUAGGGAAACUUACGCUAAUACCGCAUACGACCUACGGGUGAAAGCAGGGGAUCUUCGGACCUUGCGCGAUUGUAUGAGCCGAUGUCGGAUUAGCUAGUUGGCGGGGUAAAGGCCCACCAAGGCGACGAUACGUAGCUGGUCUGAGUGGAUGAUCAGCCACACUGGAACUGAGACACGGUCCAGACUCCUACGGGAGGCAGCAGUGGGGAAUAUUGGACAAUGGGCGCAAGCCUGAUCCAGCAAUACCGCGUGGGUGAAGAAGGCCUUCGGGUUGUAAAGCCCUUUUGUUGGGAAAGAAAAGCAGCAGGUUAAUACCCCGCUGUUCUGACGGUACCCAAAGAAUAAGCACCGGCUAACUUCGUG